UAACACAUGCAAGUCGAACGAGAACGGAUUAUAGCUUGCUAUAAUUGUCAGCUAAGUGGCGCACGGGUGAGUAAUGUAUAGAUAACCUGCCCUCUAGAAAGGAAUAACAGUUGGAAACGACUGCUAAUGCCCUAUAUGCCUUUAAUACAUAAGUAUGCAAGGGAAACGCUUUAGUGCUAGAGGAUGGGUCUGUAUGGUAUCAGCUAGUUGGUGAGGUAAUGGCUCACCAAGGCUAUGACGCCUAACUGGUUUGAGAGGAUGAUCAGUCACACUGGAACUGAGACACGGUCCAGACUCCUACGGGAGGCAGCAGUGGGGAAUAUUGCACAAUGGACGAAAGUCUGAUGCAGCAACGCCGCGUGGAGGAUGACACAUUUCGGUGCGUAAACUCCUUUUAUAUAGGAAGAUAAUGACGGUACUAUAUGAAUAAGCACCGGCUAACUCCGUGCCAGCAGCCGCGGUAAUACGGAGGGUGCAAGCGUUACUCGGAAUCACUGGGCGUAAAGAGCGUGUAGGCGGGUAUAUAAGUCAGAAGUGAAAUCCUAUAGCUUAACUAUAGAACUGCUUUUGAAACUGUAUACCUAGAAUGUGGGAGAGGUAGAUGGAAUUUCUGGUGUAGGGGUAAAAUCCGUAGAGAUCAGAAGGAAUAC
rnacentral:rRNA from 1 species